UUUGAUCAAAUCGAGGAAAACCACUAAAACCUUCCACAAAUGCUGGAAACAUUAGGACAAUAUCAAUUUUAAAACAUUAGGAAUGGAGAAUAAAAUUUAAAACAUUUCAAGAAACACAUGAUUAUUGGUGGAAGUGAAAUUACUUGAUUAAGAGUCCACAUUUGGUGCGUCGAACGGAGCUCGAGAUAAGGGAUCGAAACGUGCUUGAAUGAUCUUGGUGAUUCAGAAGAAUGUAAUCGGACAUUCCUCUCUUUCCAUAUUGAGUAGUUACGUGCUUGCAAAGCCAACUUUAAAAUGAGAGAUGUAUUUUGGAUAAGUUGAAGAUGACUUACCUAGAUGUGAAGUAGAAAGUUAUUCUUACAACUAAUCCCUCAAGACUGUUUUAUAUAAAUUUUGUUUGAACUCCACUUUAUAGAAGUAAGAACCGAAUCCUGA
rnacentral:lncRNA from 1 species